GACGAACGCUGGCGGCGUGCCUAAUACAUGCAAGUAGAACGCUCAAGGAGGAGCUUUCUCUUCUGGAUGAGUUGCGAACGGGUGAGUAACGCGUAGGUAACCUGCCUCGUAGCGGGUGAUAACUAUUGGAAACGAUAGCUAAUACCGCAUAACAGUAGUUGUUGCAUGACAUUUUCUUAAAAGGUGCAAUUGCACCACUACCAGUUGGACCUGCGUUGUAUUAUCUAGUUGGUGGUGUAACGGCUCAACAAGGCGACGAUACAUAGCCGACCUGAGAGGGUGAUCGGCCACACUGGGACUGGGACCCGGCCCAGACUCCCACGGGAGGCAGCAGUAGGGGAGCUUCGGCAAUGGACGGAAGUCUGAACGGGCAACGCCGCGUGAGGGAAGAAAGUUUUCGGAACGUAAAGAUCUGUUGUAAGAGAAGAAAGAGUGUGAGAGUGGAAAGUUCACACUGUGACGGUAUCUUACCAGAAAGGGACGGCUAACUACGUG
rnacentral:rRNA from 1 species